CGUCAGGAAGCUAAAUCAGGACACAGCGUUAGCCUUUUAAGCUAAAGAUUGGUGACUCCAACCACCCCUGGCGA